CGGGGACUGGUCUAACGGUUAUGGCGCUGCGUUCGGGACGCAGAAAAUCGCGGUUCAACUCCGCGGUCCCCGA
rnacentral:tRNA from 1 species